UUUUGUCAUAUUGAAUAUUAAACAAAGUUAAACACAGUUCCCCUCUUGGUUUAUUAAAACUCAACAUGUAUGUUUCAUAGCAGUGCCGUUCUGAUUCUGAUUUUUGUGCUCUUGUUUGGGCCACUGGUUUUGUCAUUGUUUUUGGCUUGGCAUUUGCUUCGUCGCUGCUAUCUCUGGCCGCAAGGAUUAAUGGGGUCAAUUUGGCUGUGACACGCACCACCCGCACCACCCACUGCACCAUGGAUAUCGCAGCUGCAAGUGCAACUGGCUCAUAAAAAGUGCACAAGAAAAAAUAUGACAGUCCAACGGAAAUAUGCUAAAAAUGAAUAUUUAAACUUCUAUGCUAGCUUAUAGACCAGGAUGUUGAUUCAUCAGAUUCUCUUAGUGUUUGAACGGGAUGCGGCUCAUUUCUCGCCAGUGCCGAAUGCAUUUGGCAUCGAGACCAAAAGCCAUGGCAACAAAACGGGAACUAACCCAAAGACAAAGAUUCCAUUUCAAUUUACUUUUUUAAAUUGCAAACUUUUGCGACAAGUUUAAGCCGCCACACACAAAUAUUCAUAGACUCACACACGCACACGCUUUGGAAAAAGGAAAAGCAAACAUUUCCCAGUAACACACACACACACACACACACACGCACAUCGCCAAUAGCACGCAACAAGAGAAAUGCGAAAAGAAAGUUGAAAAACGAACCCAACUGAGGACGACAAAUUCAACAUGUCAGGCAUUAGAGUGGGAUAGAUAGAAAUGAAAUGAGGAGAAAGAGACGGAGGAGCGGAAGAGAGAUGCGGAGCUGUCACGAAGAUGAAACUAUUAUCCACGGAAAUUAGCGGGUUCCAAUGACAAAAACACAUGAAAUGCAAAAACUUUCCGCCCUUCGCUUCAAGCUCAAUUUCCAAAUUGUUGUCGACAUUGUUCUUGUUCUUGUCCUAGUUGCCAC